rnacentral:lncRNA from 10 species
CGAGGAGCCUUUUACAGAAGUGGCUCCAGGAGCAUCCACAUCUGCCUCUCGGGGCCCACGGGGCCCAGGCCAGCUACAGAAGCACCCUGCUUUCCAUGGGAAAAUGCUGCAAAUGGGGGAGAAAGGAGAGAAGGGUUUCAGACUGCAAAGACCCUUCGACAUCAGCUAGCACCAAGUUCCAUCAUGUAAAUAAACUGAAGGGCUUCAGACCGGGAGUGAAGCCAAGCAGGUGAUAGAAGUGUUUGUAGGAGGAUUUUUUUGACAUAAACAUGAAAUGGAGCGAGUGGUAACGCCAUCCGUCUCCUGCCCAGACCUCCCCACUGUCACUGUCCAGCCUGAAGCCGCCCUGGUGAAGCAGGUGGAGGAGCAGCUCCAGGCCCGGCUCCCCGGCCUCCCUCCCUCAGCUCCAGGGCACUCACGUGCUUGAAACAGCUGACGGGAGCAGCCUUGUAACUGUGAUCCUUCAGGAACUUCCCCCAGUCGAAGCCCAAGACCAGAGCUGCAGAGCAGAGAGGACGAGUCAGACUAGGAGCCUGCGCAGCAGCCACUCCAGGAGCCUGGACCCCAAGGGCCCUGUGGGACCUGCAGAGGUAGGUCCCCCACCCCCAGCAGCCCCUCUCACAGCGCUGCCCACGACACCCUCCUUCACUCCCAUACCUGAUCCACCAGUGGCCAUGAGGGACCACUGUUGAGGACUGAAUUGAAAGGUGGCAAGACUCUCAGGAGUAGAGGAACAUUCAAAGGGAAAUUUCUCGCCCUUCUUCCCCCAAAGGGGAAAACUGAAAUAUCCCUGGGCUUAAAUUCCUCCCUCCGCCCUGAACCUGAUUGGCCACACCCAAUCUAAAUGUGGGGGAGGGGGUGCGCACACACCAGGGCCCCUCCAACUGAGCUCCGGCCUGCUGAGCUCAAUUUCAGUUAGAAACUCAGAACAAUGAUAGCAGAGUUGCUUUAUGCAUACAUUUAACUUGCUUAGCAAUUGCUACACACUCAGAGAGAGGCUCCUUUCCUUAUCCCACCACCCCUCUCCAAACCUGCCUUCAAACCAUAUCUGGGCCUUCGUUGCCCCAGGGAAACAGAAACCAAAAGGAUAAAAGCAAAGAGAAACAAAAACAGCCAAUUCUUGGCUUUUGAAUUAUCAUGGGUAGGAGUCCUGAUAAUUUAAGGGUGUUUGAAGGCAUUUUUCUGGGUAAUUUCCACAAUACCCAACAGGUGAGGAAGAUGCAAUCCGCAGUGACCCUGACUUAGGGCACUUUCUACCUGGCCGGUUUGCCCAGUCUUCAUUCCUAGGAAAGGCCACCCCAAACCCAGUCUCCUCCCCAGCCACGGCAGCUUCCUAAGCAGGGCCCUCUGCUAUCUUACCGUCUUGUCCUGUUGGUGUCCCAUCUGCCAGCUGUCCUGUCCCUUGAGAGUGGAGGAAGGCUCCAAUUUUGGCAGACCAGGCAGCCUUGUGCAGGACUUUGGCUUUUUUGGUCGGUGGUUUUCCCUGGAGAGGAGGACAGAGGCUAUGUGUAGCCUGGCGGCUGGGAUCAUGAGUCUGGAUUUGGGCCGCCAAGUUGAAGUCCUGGGCUUGGGCCAGUGACUUAACCUCUUUUGGGCUUCAGUUUCUUCAUGUGUGAAACAGUGAUGACAAUAACAAUCCUGAGCUCAGGGGGUGGUUGUGGGGAAGCGUCGGGGGUGCUAGGGGGUGCUAGGCAGUGCUGCAGAGCAGGGAGAGACCCAUGUUCUAUCUUUUAAGCCUUUCUGUCCUCCCAGAUUCAAGUCUCAGUCAUCUCCUUCCUCCAGUGUCGCUACUGAUAGAUCCAAAGCAAAGAAUGGGCCUCACAGGGGCCCAGAAACGCUCAUGAACUGGGAGGCAACCUUCUGUACAUACGCGAAUGUUUGGGAGAGGGUCCACAUAGGCGAAUGUUCGGGAGAGGGUCCACAUAGGCGAAUGUUCGGGAGAGGGUCCACAUAGGCGAAUGUUCGGGAGAGGGUCCACAUAGGCGAAUGUUUGGGAGAGGACCCACAGCUUUCAUUAGGUACUCAAAGGGGGUCCUCCCUUUCCAAAGGGAAUGGCCACUGAUCUGGUCUGUAUUUUGUAACUUAAGUACUGAACAGGAAGGCCAGGAAUUUACUAAAGAGAUCAGUGAAGCAGAAAUCUGGGUUUAAGUCCCAAACAAACCUACAGGGCAAAUCCCAGUUCUACAGUUUUUAGUUGUAUACCUUUAAGUAAGUUACUAAAAUUUCUGAGCCUUUAUAAAAAGGAAUUUUUUUAAAAAUCAAAUUUUUUAAGAUCGUUAAUUGGACUGAGAAUGUCAAGCCCUUAGCAAGUACUCCCAAACCAUAGCUAUUAAUAUUACCAAUAUUAUUCUUAGCUCUCGGAAGAGAGGGAUCUUUCGGUGCCUUAAGUAAAAUCUACAAAAUGGGGAAACAAUGGUAAUUGUCUCACAAAGGCGACAGUGUAUGAAGCAGUAAGCAGAAGGAUCUGGGACACAGCAAUUUCUAAUAAACAUCGGUGGUGCUCAAACUUCGCUGCACAUUAGGAUCACCUGGGAGCUCUUCCAAUCUCUGUCCAGGCUACACACCAUCCCAGUUAAAUCAGAACCUUUCGGAGUAGGACCCAAGCAUCAAUAUAUUUUACAUAAUAUUUUCCCCCCAGGCUGGAGUGCAGUGGCACGAUCUCGGCUCACUGCAACCUCCACCUCCCAAGUUCAAGCGAUUCUCCUGCCUCAGCCUCCCGAGUAACUGGGACUACAGGCGUACAACACCACGCCUGGCUAAUUUUUGUAUUUUUAGUAGAGACGGGGUUUCAUCAUGUUGGCUGGGAUGGUCUCGAUCUCCUGACCUCGUGAUCCGCCCGCCUCGGUCUCCCAAAGUGCUGGGAUUACAGGCGUGAGCCACCGUGCCCGACCAGCAUCAAUAAUUUUUAAACUUUCCAGGUGAUCCCAACAUGCAGGCAAAUUUGGGAAGCAGUGUUGCAGAUGCUGGUCCCAGCUACUGGGAAACAAGGUAAGAUGAGGCCCCUGAGAUGAGGUUCCAGCCUCAAUUCCGCCAUUCUCCUCCUACAGAGCCACACUAGGUAUGUCAUUCUACCUCCUUGGACCUCAGUAUACUUAUCAAUAAAUGUGUGGGUUCAACACCACAUCCAAGAAUCUUUCCAUCUCUAAAGAUUCUAUAAAUAUCAGUAAUUUAGAAAAUUGGCAAGACUUUCUAGGUAGCUGCCUGUGACAUGGAGUCCGAGGAGGCAUGGUCUUCCUGAAGCCACCGUGGCUGGUGAACCUUGGGCCUGUUUCCCAACUUCCUUUGAAAGGAUUUAUAAAAGUGUGGGGUGAAGACCAAGGGUGUCAGACUCCCCCAUAGUUCUUGUUUAAAAUGUACUGAAUACACCAGACUCUGGGGGAUGAUGGUAGGUAAUGGAGCGUAGCUUCAGGAACCUAUAAUUUAAAAAGCUCCACAAAUGGAUUCUACUGUCCUCUGAAGUUUGAGAACAUAAUAAAUACCAGCUGGCCACAAGCAAGGACCUUUUCAAACUUUCCUGGCCCUGGCCUUCAGUCACUUGGUGGUUCCUGUCUCAGCACCAAAGGCACCGGGAAGGAUCCAAGUGAUUGCCUCUCACCUGUAACCUAGCCAAGAUACUGGCUUUCUUGGAGUUGGAGGAGUAGCUCCUGGAGCAGGAGACGCUGCAGAACCUCUUGGUCUUGGAGAAGAAGGCUUCCCUUGUACCCACGAUACCACACAUCUCACAGACAGCUGGGAAGAGAACUUAGCACAUGACUCACCCGAUAUGACCACCUCAAAGCAAACAAAGUGAUGGGCCCUUCAAAACCUGGGGCACUGCAUUAACCAGGUGAGCCCCUGCCCCCACAAAGGCUAAUGGAAUAAGAGGAGGAAUGGGAGGUACUGGUGUGUAUAUCCUGAAUCUACCUGAAUGAAGUGCUGCUGCUUGGCCUCCCUUGGCUACAGAUGUCAACAGAGGGGCUAAUGGAAAUCCAUGAGGACGACUGGGGGAACAGGGGACACUCUGAAGGCACCUGGCUCAGAACCACUGCCAUCCAAGGAGCGAGGAGUCCCAGGGCUGAGCAAAUGCAGCGGGGAGGUCGGCAGUUCCCCUGCUUCCCGAUCCUCAUUUUCUGCUUCACUUGACUCCUCCAGAUAGGAGCUGCUCUCACUGCCCACACUGCUGUUAUAACUCCGGAAACUAUCAUAGCCACCAAACAGCUCCAAGUCGUCAUCUUCCUCUUCCUCCAUUGGUUCUGAAGAUGGGGUCUCCUAAUGGAGGAUGACACAAACCAGGUAGAAAGAAUUAUGAUUGGCUUUAGUGCACGGGGGGAGAAGCUGCAGAUCUGCUAUCAGCCCCCUCACACUUUCGGGAACCUUUCAAAUACCCCUUUUACAAACACCAAGAUCAUUACUUCUAUUUACACAUUUCUCCACCAUGAUGCAAUUCAACAGCUUAACAAGACAGAAAAUAUGUGUUAGGAAUUCACCAGGCUCCUCUGUGGAUUUACAAAUGAUGAUAUUUUAACAUGGUUCAAAUAGAAUACUGUAUAACAAUGUGGGCCAGGUGCGGUGGCUCAUGCCUGUAAUCCUAGCACUUUGGGAGGCCGAGGCUGGCAGAUCACCUGAGGUCAGGAGUUCGAGACCAGCCUGGCCAAGAGGGUGAAACCCUGUCUCUACAAAAAAAUACAAGAAAAAAUUAGCCAGGCGUGGUGGCGGGCACCUGUAGUCCAGCUACUUGGGAGGCUGGGGCAGAGAAUUGCUUGAACCCAGGAGGCAAAGGUUGUAGUGGGCCAAGAUCGUGCCACUGCACUCCAGUCUGCGUGACAGAGCAAGACUCCAUCUCAAAAAAAAAAAAAAAGUGAAAUAUCCUAAGGUACUUCACAAAGACUUUCUGGGGUAGAAGAUAUAUUAGAAAUUAAUUCUUAGCCAGGCACAGUGGCCCACACCUGUAAUCCCAGCACUUUCCGAGGCCAAGGUGGGUGGAUCACGAAGUCAGGAGUUCAAGACCAACCUGGCCAAGAUGGUGAAACCCCGUCUCUACUAAAAAUACAAAAAUUGGCUGGGUGUGGUGGCGGGUGCCUGUAAUCCCAGGUACUUGGGAAGCUGAGGCAGAGAAUUGCUUGAACCCGGGAGGUGGAGGUUGCAGCGAGCUAAGAUCGCGCCACUGCACUCCAGCCUGGUAAUGGAGUGAGAUGCUGUCUCAAAAAGAAAAACAAAAAUUCUUCCCCGUUCAAUAUACAUCAAAAUGAUCUCAACUCAGAAACAAUUUAAGUCACAGAAAAGUUAAUUUGGGACCUAGACUGCUCCAAAGAGGAUGGGAGAGGCAGAUGACACACAGAUAACUGUGGCAUCUUGGUGUGUACUACAGCGCUAGAUUCAGCUCUGAGCCUAACUAGCUAUAGGGCCUUGGGCAAGUCAUUUAACUUCUGUGGGCUUCAACUUUCUCAUCUAUAAAAUAAAAAUAUUUGACUCGUGAGAUGCAAAUGAGAUAAUGUAUAUGAAUCUACCCAGCAUGUAACAGAAAACGUGUGAAGAGCCUGGGUACGGUGGUUCACAUCUGUAAUCCCAGCACUUUGGGAGGCUGAGGCAGGUGGAUUGCUUGAACCCAGGAGUUUGAGACCAGCCUUGGCAACACAGCCACACCCCAUCUCUACAAAAGAAAAAAAAAUUAGCCAGGUGUGGUGGCAUGCGCCUGUAGUCCCAGCUUCUUGGAGCUGAGGUGGAAGGACUGCUUGAGCCUGGGAGGUCAAGGCUGUAGUGAGCCAUAACCAUGCCACUGCAAUCCAGCCUGGGCAAGAGAAUGACAUCCUGUCUCCAAAGAAAAAGAAAAAAAAGCUGGGUGCGGUGGCUCACACCUAUAAUCCCAGCACUUUGGGUGACCGAGGCGGGCGGAUCACUUAAGACCAGGAGUUCAAGACCAUCCUGGCCAACAUGGUGAAAUCCCAUCUCUAGUAAAAAUACAAAAAAUAGCUGGGCAUGAUGGUGGGUGCCUGAAAUCCCAGCUACUCGGGAGGCUGAGGCAGGAGAAUCACUUGAACCCAGGAGUUGGAGGUUGCAGUGAGCCGAGAUUGCACCACUGCCCUCCAGCCUGGGCAACAGAGUGAGACUCCUUCUCAAAAAAAAAAAGCUGGGUGGUGGUGGCAUGCACCUGUGGCUCUAGCUACUCAGAAGGCUGAGGUGGGAAGACAGCUUGAGCCUGGGAGGUCAAGGCUGCACUGAAUCAUGAUCACACCAUUGCACUCCAGCCUGGAUGACAGAGGGAAGACACUGUCUCAAAGGAAAAAAAAGGUGUGAAGAAAGGAGAAAAGUUUGGCCUCUGGUCCAGAGCUCAAAUAUCUCUAGUGCUUACUCGCUGUAUGACCUGCAGCAAGUCAAUUUUGCAGUGCUUCAGUUUCCACAUCUGUACAAUGAGGAUAGUACCACCUAUUUCAUAGGGUUUGGGGGCUGGCCAUGGUGGCUCAUGCCUGUAAUCCCAGCACUUUGGGAGGCCGAGACAGGAGGAUUGCUUGAGCCUAGGAGUUCAAGACCAGACUGGGCAACAUAGGGAAACCCUGUCUCUAUAAAAAAUGGAAAAAAUUAGCUGGGUGUUUUGGUUAGGGAGGCUGAGGUGGGAGGAACUCUUGAGCCAGGGAGGUCAAGGCUGCAGUUAGCUAUGACUGCACCACUGCACUCCAGCCUGGGUGACAGAGAGCAACCCUGUUUCAAAAAAAAAAAAAAAAAAAAAAAAAGGAUUUGGGGGAGAAGUAAGAGACGAUACAGGCAAAGCUCUCAGAAUAGUGACUUGCAUAUAGUAAGUGCUCAAUAAAGGUUGCCAAUUUUUACUGGUUGAAAGCAUAGGCUCUGAUUUGCCUGAGUUUGAAUCCUGGCUCUAACAUUUAUUAACUGUGUGAUUUUGUGCGUAUUUUAUCUUGCUGCUGUCAUCAUUACAAGAGAGGUAAUAAGCUUUCUUUAGAGAAUUCUUACGAAGAUUGAGAUAAGAUAUGUAAAACCUAGUUCUAUUUCCAGCAGUCAGUAACAGCUCUAAAAGUGUGACUUGCUAUUCUUAUUCUCCACAUGAUUAUUCUCGUUUACCCUUGCAGAAAGUUUGAGCUAUUCCACCUUAUAUUUGCAACUACACAUGCAAAUAUGCUAGAAAGGAAGCAAUUUUUUUUUUUUUUUGAGACACAGUCUCGCUCUGUCGUCCAGGCUGGAGUGCAGUGGUGCAGUGGCCCGAUCUCGGCUCACUGCAAGCUCCGCCUCCCACGUUCACGCCAUUCUCCCGCCU